rnacentral:rRNA from 1 species
UACAGAGGUCCCAAGCGUUGUUCGGAUUCAUUGGGCGUAAAGGGUGCGUAGGCGGCCAGGUAGGUCUGCUGUGAAAACUCGAGGCUUAACCUCGAGCUGUCGGCGGAAACCAUCUGGCUAGAGUCCGGAAGAGGAGAAUGGAAUUCCCGGUGUAGCGGUGAAAUGCGCAGAUAUCGGGAAGAACACCCGUGGCGAAGGCGGUUCUCUGGGACGGUACUGACGCUGAGACGCGAAAGCGUGGGGAGCGAACAGG